rnacentral:tRNA from 1 species
UGGUUCAGUGGUAGAAUGCUUGCCUUGUAUGCAUGAGGCCCUGGGUUCAAUUCCUUG